UGGGGAAUAUUGGGCAAUGGGCGAAAGCCUGACCCAGCCACGCCGCGUGAGUGAUGAAGGCCUUCGGGUCGUAAAGCUCUGUGGGGAGGGACGAACAAACUCUGGGCUAAUCACCAGGGUCCUGACGGUACCUCCUUAGCAAGCACCGGCUAACCCUGUGCCAGCAGCCGCGGUAAUACAGGGGGUGCAAACGUUGCUCGGAAUCAUUGGGCGUAAAGCGCACGUAGGCGGUCUGUUAUGUCGGAUGUGAAAGCCCUUGGCUCAACUGAGGAAGUGCAUCCGAAACUGGCAGGCUAGAGUACUAAAGAGGGUCGCGGAAUUCCCGGUGUAGAGGUGAAAUUCGUAGAUAUCGGGAGGAACACCGGUGGCGAAGGCGGCGACCUGGGUAGAUACUGACGCUGAGGUGCGAAAGCGUGGGGAGCAAACA
rnacentral:rRNA from 1 species